UGAGGGAUAUUGGUCAAUGGGCGCAAGCCUGAACCAGCGACGCCGCGUGGGUGAAGAAGGUCUUCGGAUCGUAAAGCCCUUUUCCCACUGAAGAGGAAGGACGGUAGGUGGGGAAGAAGUCUCGGCUAACUACGUGCCAGCAGCCGCGGUAAAACGUAGGAGACAAGCGUUAUCCGGAGUUACUGGGCGUAAAGGGCGUGCAGGUGGCGUCUUAAGUCUGUUGUGAAAGCGCCUGGCUUAACCGGGCGAGGCCAAUGGAGACUGAGAGGCUGGAUGACGGCGGAGGGGUGUGGAAUUCCGGGUGUAGUGGUGAAAUGCGUAGAGAUCCGGAGGAACACCAGAGGCGAAGGCGGCACUCUAAGCCGUACCUGACACUGAGACGCGACAGCACGGGGAGCAAACG
rnacentral:rRNA from 1 species